UCUUCUUUUCACCCUUGAACUUUGUGGCAUUCUGUUUAACCACCUUUACACUUGACCAUUUAAAGCAAUAACCACUAACGUCUGGUUCUUAUACUUUUAUCCAAACAACCCACAACAACUAAAUAAUUGUUCCUGCACUCCCCCAGGCUUAGCCAGAGUGGGAACUUAACCAGCAUCAAGGAUACAAAUGAAAUGCUCUGACCAUGAUCAAUAAAUAAGAUGCUGCCUAUCUCUCCAACCAAAUUACAGGAAAAGACGUGCCAUGUUAACAUCCUGGUGAAGAGCAAGUGGUGCUGAACGAAGACCAGGAAGAUGGUGUAGGAUCUCGGCUAUAUGGACAAUGGGAUGCUUCUCACUGUUGUAGGCAGGGAAGUGCUUCUGCUCCCUGAAGGCCAGCAGAAAGUAUAAAGGAGAGCUGCUUCUUGCAAACCAUUUGGGUCCUCACCCAGGAGAGUCUACAUGAUGCCCACUGGACUAGGGCGAAUGAAUUGUUUUAUUAAUUUGUAUUCUUAUUUUGUAUUACUUAUACUAAAUAUUGUAUACAGUGUUUUGACUUGUUUUUGUAUAUUUUAUUUUUUUUGAUAGUGUCUACAGCUCUAACAUCAUUAGGAGAUAUAGUCAAUAUCAAACACAGUAACAACUUAAGAACAAAUUCAUGGUACAACGGUCAUUUGGAACGUAACUCGUUCAUAAGGUGGGGAGCGUCUGUACAUGUAUUUUGCAUUUUAUUCUAUUUUUUUUUUUUUUUAUUUAACACCAAAUAUAUAAUAAUGUCGUAAUGUGUGUGAGAAACAGACUAAAAAAUAAUUCUUAUCUACUUUGUCCCCCUUUUGUGUUAGUUUUGCCUGCAGUUAGGAGACCAGUGGCCUUUUCCUAAAAGCUUGUCUUUGCAGACACCAGCAGGUCCCCCACAUUCAGAAGAUGGUUGUGGAUCCAUGUAAGUACACAACAAAAAUAAGACCUUAUUUGGAAAUUGUCAAUCGUCUAAUAUUGUACUGCUACUUCCACAAACCCUCUCUGGAUCCUUUGAAUAUCAACCACAAAUAGAAAUCGCUUCCAAACUCCAAAAUUAUAACGUGACUUCAAAGCAGCAUGUUCCUUUUAUAUUUUCUGUAGUUUUUGAUAUUGUGAACCACAGUAAAUUCUCAGGGGUCUUGGAAAUGACUGCAAAGAUGGCAAAAAUCUCCUACCUACAAGGUGAGGAUAUGUUUGAGUUUGGAGCUGGAAGCCAUGGAAAAGCAGAUCUGCAACCUCCAGGUGAAGCAGCCAUCGUACUCCCACCAUCUCAACUCCAUGUGUUUCUUUGCCCAGGCCUAGCAAACCUAUGACGUAGCUCACCCAGGUGGUGUUCCCUCCUGCACUGGGGCACCACAGACCUGGGUCCAGCACUGAAAGAUGCAGGGACAUCUCCCUGUCUGCUGACUUGGAGAUCUCCACCCAGAAUUGCUUCGUCUAUGCUGGCAUAAACGACCUCAGGCAAAGGCAGACGGAGAUCCUGAAGUGACUCUUGGUUGAAAUGGUACAAAGCACAUUUACCUACAAUGAGGAUUGUUUCAGAACCGCUUCACAUACCAAGGAGGAAUUGAGUGGUUCAGUAGACUUUUUGCUUUAAAUAUAUGCUGCAGUUAUGGUGUCAAGAACACAAACUGCCCUUUUCUGAUAUCUGGAAUGUUUCCUGGGAGUGUCCAAUGCUCUUCCACCCUGAUGGCCUGCACCUGAGCAGAAAUGGACUGGUAUCCCUCUAACAUCAGCUGAGAAUAAGCUUGGACUGUAAUAACUGUCUACAACAAUGGCUUAGGACAGCAGUUUUGCAAGUGCCAAUG